rnacentral:rRNA from 1 species
UUUAGUGGCGCACGGGUGAGUAACACGUGAAUUAUCUACCUCCGAGUGGGGAAUAACUGAGAGAAAUCUUAGCUAAUACCGCAUAACACUUACGAGUCAAAGCAGUAAUGCGCUUGGAGAGGAGUUCGCGGCCGAUUAGUUAGUUGGCGGGGUAAUGGCCCACCAAGACGAUGAUCGGUAUCCGGCCUGAGAGGGCGCACGGACACACUGGAACUGAAACACGGUCCAG